rnacentral:miRNA from 1 species
UGGUCCCCCCACUGGGCUUCACCCGGACCUGGUGAUUCUGAUCCCUACCUGGGCCUCACCCGGACCUGGUGACUGUGGUCCCCACCUGGGCCUCA